rnacentral:rRNA from 1 species
UGAGCAAUCUGCCCUUCUCUUCGGAAUAAGCGUUGGAAACGACGUCUAAUGCCGAAUACGACCUCCUUUCGCAUGAUCGGAGGUGGAAAGCUCCGGCGGAGAAGGAUGAGCUCGCGGCCUAUCAGCUAGUUGGUGUGGGUAAUGGCCCACAAGGCGACGACGGGUAGCCGGCCUGAGAGGGUGACCGGCCACACUGGGACUGAGACACGGCCCAGACUCCUACGGGAGGNGGCAGG